rnacentral:lncRNA from 1 species
GUCAACAAAACCCUCCGUUUCUCCUUUUAAUAUCUGUUUUUAGGAACUCAGAGCCAGUUUCCAAAACUCAGACUUCUUUCACGCUUCCUCCUGCUUCUUACAAGUCUUCAUAUAUCUGUCAGGUGGUAGAACAAUAUUUUAUACAUGAAUUGUCUCAGACAUUGUAAUGGAAGCUGACAGAAUUGAUGCUGAUUUUUCUUCAGACAUAAAUAACUUCUGAAACUUUAUGGAAUGAGUGUCAAGACUUGAAAAAAGUAAAUCUGUCAAGAUUUUAAAGGAUAACAUCUAGAGGCUGUCUGAGCCACGAUGACAUUUUGGAGUUCAUGGGAGUUUACCAACACAGCAAAGAUCUUAUGCUCAUGAAGGACCAUUACAAAUGGCAGUAAAAUACUACAGCUCAAGAGAAGUGAGUGUAGAACCAUCAGUGACUAACUCUCCAGGAACUGGCUGCGUACAGCCGAGAUGGAAGAGUGGCUUCAGCUAUUUUUGCUCUCAUCUCUGCCCAGAAGUGGAAGCCCCAGGGUGGACAGAAACGCUCUUCAGGUCUCAAGCUAUAAAUAUUUAACUGUUCAUGAGCUAACACUUGGUCUACGUACUCGUAAAGGUACAAGUCAUAUUGGCUUUAUCAGUCAGUCAAUUAUACUGGGAGCUUCCAGAGCUCACGGGUCGGCACAUAGCUGGCACAGACAAUGUCUAUUGAAUGGAUAACAUUUUUGAGUAAGUAAGAAAAUUUUUGGACUGCAACUACAGUGCCUUCUAUUUAACUCCUAAGUACUUGCAAGCAACUUUCUAGACAGCAGGAGCAAGCUGUUUGUGAUAGAAAUUUACUACCAGUCACUUCACCAGUAAUAGAAGCUUUAUCAAUGCAAUAAGCCUAUAUCCAGUUGUCAUACAUUGUGUGCAAGGCAACUGGAUAUGAACGAAAUAGUUUCUUUCCACAUAGAAAUUUUACCAACAAUGUGGUGAGUACGUUGGCAAGCACGUAAUGAAUUAAACUUCUCUCCAGCCAACAUGCUUACACCCCAGGGUAAUACUGAG